CACAUGCAAGUCGAACGGCAGCACGGAGAGCUUGCUCUCUGGUGGCGAGUGGCGAACGGGUGAGUAAUAUAUCGGAACGUGUCCAAUAAUGGGGGAUAACGAGUCGAAAGAUUCGCUAAUACCGCAUACGCCCUACGGGGGAAAGCAGGGGAUCGUAAGACCUUGCGUUAAUGGAGCGGCCGAUAUCUGAUUAGCUUGUUGGUGAGGUAAAGGCUCACCAAGGCGACGAUCAGUAGCUGGUUUGAGAGAACGACCAGCCACACUGGAACUGAGACACGGUCCAGACUCCUACAGGAGGCAGCAGUGGGGAAUUUUGGACAAUGGGGGCAACCCUGAUCCAGCCAUUCCGCGUGAGUGAAGAAGGCCUUCGGGUUGUAAAGCUCUUUNCNCAAGGGAAGAAAACUUAUGAUCGAAUAAAUCAUGAGNUGACGGUACCUUNAUAGAAGCACCGG
rnacentral:rRNA from 1 species